AAUACGCCUGGCAUCCAAGUCCACCCACUCCGGACUUUGGCCUUAGCAGUAGUUAGUGUGGGAGGCUGGGAAGACUGGGAGCAGUCUCUUAAACAAAAGCAAAAGAAUAAGCUUCGGGCGCUGUAGUACCUGCCAGCUUUCGCCACAGGAGGUAAGUGGAUACUGGGAGCUGGGGGAACUGAGAAGACUAGCCAGAUAUUACAUGUAUUGCCAACUCAAAACUUUCAGCUUUUAACAUGCUUCCUCACACAUUAUCCCCUUUGAUCCUCCACAACUCUGAGGUGGACCUGGUGGGUCUUAGCCCCACUUGGUAGAUGAGAAAAUAGGUUGAGAGAGACAGUGAGAUGCUCAGUAUCACACAGCAAACCUCUUGGCCCUAUACAUCAUUCCAAACACAAGACCCAGGCUGGAGUGCAGUGGCGCGAUCUUGGCUCACCACAAUUUCCACCCCCGGGGUUCAAGCGAUUCUCCUGCCUCAGCCUCCCGAGUAGCUGGGACUACAGGCAUGCGCCACCAUGCCUG
rnacentral:lncRNA from 10 species